rnacentral:rRNA from 1 species
UACGUAGGGGGCAAGCGUUAUCCGGAUUUACUGGGUGUAAAGGGAGCGCAGACGGCAGUGCAAGUCUGGAGUGAAAGCCCGCGGCCCAACUGCGGGACUGCUUUGGAAACUGCCCGGCUAGAGUGCUGGAGAGGUAAGCGGAAUUCCUAGUGUAGCGGUGAAAUGCGUAGAUAUUAGGAGGAACACCAGUGGCGAAGGCGGCUUACUGGACAGUAACUGACGUUGAGGCUCGAAAGCGUGGGGAGCAAACAGG